rnacentral:rRNA from 1 species
ACGGGAGGCAGCAGUGGGGGAUAUUGCACAAUGGAGGAAACUCUGAUGCAGCAACGCCGCGUGAGGGAAGAAGGUCUUCGGAUUGUAAACCUCUGUUUUUGGUGAAGAAUUUUGAUGGUAGCCAAAGAGGAAGCCACGGCUAACUACGUGCCAGCAGCCGCGGUAAUACGUAGGUGGCAAGCGUUGUCCGGAUUUACUGGGUGUAAAGGGUGCGCAGGCGGGACUGCAAGUUGGAUGUGAAAUACCGAGGCUUAACCUCGGGGCUGCAUCCAAAACUGUGGUUCUUGAGUGGAGUAGAGGUAAGCGGAAUUCCGAGUGUAGCGGUGAAAUGCGUAGAUAUUCGGAGGAACACCAGUGGCGAAGGCGGCUUACUGGGCUCUAACUGACGCUGAGGCACGAAAGUGUGGGUAGCAAACAGGAUUAGAUACCCUGGUA